rnacentral:rRNA from 1 species
GAUGAACGCUGGCGGCGUGCUUAACACAUGCGAGUCGAACGGAAAGGCCCAAGCUUGCUUGGGUCCUCGAGUGGCGAACGGGUGAGUAACACGUGGGUGAUCUGCCCUGCACUUCGGGAUAAGCCUGGGAAACUGGGUCUAAUACCGGAUAGGACCACAUUUUGGAUGGUGUGGUGGAAAGUUUUUCGGUGUGGGAUGAGCUCGCGGCCUAUCAGCUUGUUGGUGGGGUAAUGGCCUACCAAGGCGUCGACGGGUAGCCGGCCUGAGAGGGUGUACGGCCAAAAUUGGGACUAAGAUCGGCCCAAGACCCCUCGGGGGGGAGCAGGGGGGGAUAAUGCACAAUGGGGGGAAAGCUGAUGCAACGGAGGCGCGUUGGGGAAGGAGGCCUUCGGGUUGGUAACCCCUUUCGCUAGGGACGAAGCGUUAUGUGACGGUACCUGGAGAAGAAGCACCGGCUAACUACGUG